UGGCGGCACGCCUAACACAUGCAAGUCGAACGCAGUAGCAAUACUGAGUGGCAAACGGGUGAGGUAUAAUGUGGGAAUCUGCCUUUUUGGUUCGGAAUAACACGAGGAAAACUUGUGCUAAUACCGGAUAAGCCCUUUACGGGGGAGAGUUUUAAUGCCAAAAGAUGAGCCCGCACUUGAUUUAGCUAGUUGGUAAGGUAAUGGCUUACCAAGGCAACGAUCAAUAGCUGUUCUUAGAGGAAGACCAGCCACAUUGGGACUGAGACACGGCCCAAACUCC
rnacentral:rRNA from 1 species